UUAUAAAAGAAGCAGCCAUGCCUUCUCCUAAAGCGACUGUUGUUGGGAGAGUGGGCAUGUCGUAGGGAGAUAUUUCCGGUCUGACGGAAGCUUAGGGUAAGAGAGGCAAGUCACAAGAGUAGCUAGGCUUCGAGAUGGAUUUUAGGGACUUCUACAAUAAGACCUAUUUUCCUUCCCAAUUUGCUGGCGUUGUGUUUACCACUUUUCAGGCGAUGCUCGAGGCGGUCUUUGGAAGCCCCGUGAUUCAGAAACAACCAGUAUCGCUCUCAGUCAACUGCAGUCUGUGGUCCAGGACAGAUGUCCAGCCGGCCAGCCUCCCAAAACUUAGGCCUGCCCAAGGCGUACUGGUGGACACGAACCCCAGACCUGAACAGAGGUCAGGCCGCAUUCUUCUACAACGAUACACUGAAUAUUGCAUCCAGAUUCCAUGAGUCACGUGCCGUCUAUCUGCCCGCAAGUGUGCAUUACAAAAGUUUAUGAAAACCAGCUUGAAGUACUCCAGUGGAGCCAUCAUUUACCUUUUCUCCAGGCCAGCACGGGCCUUUUUGUAAAUAAAUAGCUGUAAAGUAACGAGCUGAGUUUUCUGGCGACCUUUCCCUCUAAGAAAUUAUCAAUAAUAAUCAGUUUUACGUUGUUCAUCAAUCAAUCAAUAAUAGCCUCCCAUGAAGUAUGAACUUCACGAAACUCCUCUCCAUUGUGGAACUGACGCUUUUAGCAGAGGUGCUUUGAAAUCACUUACUAAGGUCUGCUUGGUGCCUGCUCAUGAUGGGGUCAUUGGCAGUGGGAAAGCUGACUAGACUAAGAGGAAAGAGGAACGAACGCAUCAUCUCAAACAGUUAUGAGUAAGCAGGUUCCUCGCUGUGACUGGAAGCUGACUUUGAAAAGGUCGUGCAUUCUAAUGAAAAGACGUACUGGUUUUCCCUCUGUUUUCACAUAAAAGAAACCUAAGAGAUUCCCGGUAUGUAUCCAGCUACGCAUCACCUCCGUGUCGCUAUUUUACAGUACUAAAACAUGACGCAAACUCAAUGGGACGCCGUGUGUAGUGCUAUAAUAGAUUCAUAUCAACCGUGUAUCUGAUGUCUAGGCCAGUCCCUUACGACGCUCCUGAUUGGCUGUUAAUAAGCCAAUCACAGUGUUGGAAACUCUGUAUCUAUCGAGAGAGUUCACACAGGCUGGAUGUAUGUUCCAUCUCUCCUGAGGGAUACGCCUUUCAAAAGUAUCCCUCAGGAGAGGUGGAACAUACAUCUUGCCUAUGUGAACUCUCUCGAGAGAGACUGAGAGUUUCCAUUCCAUCCCUGUGAGUGGCUUAUCAACAGCCAAUCAAGAGCGUCGUAAGGGACUGGCUUAUAGACAUUAGAUGCACGGUUGAUGUGAAUCUACUUUUUUUUUUUUUAUAGCUCCCCGGGGAUCAAAGUAUUAUGUACACCAAUUUCUUUAUAUUUCUAUAUAAUAAUAACUGAUAUCUUUGAUCUCCCGAGAGGCUAGUACUAAAAACGGUGUCGCUUUGAGCUUCGCCAUCUUCAGUACUAUUGUAGCACCUCGGAGGUGGCGCGUAGGUAGGUACAGUGGGGCUCAAAUCUCAUGCGACAUGAUUCUUUUUGUAUCGUCCAUAUUCUCAGACUCAACGUGACAUUGCCAAGUAGUGCUAUUUUUUUUCUUUUUUUUUUAUUUGUAAUGUCAUUCAUG